rnacentral:misc_RNA from 1 species
GGAUCUUGCAUUUUUCAUGGGGUUCUUUAAUUUGGGCUUAAUAGAUCCGACCCAUUGUCUCAAAAGUCCAGGAUAUAGCCCAAGUUCCUUUCCCGAUGUGCGACUCGCAACCGUUUAAUGGGGGACUUGACUUCCCAGGUUAUUUUAGACUUUUCAGUACUCAAAUCUCCUCCCUACCCGCCAAUUUCCCUCACUUCUGAUCUCUCUUUCUGUGAAGAAGGGAACAAUGUCUACCGGUCUUGUUGUUCUCUUUCUCUGUAUUCUCAUCUCCACACUCAUUACGCAGACAAGAAGUCUUGCAGUCCCUCGAGAACUCCGCAACUUCUCUCAGAAUCUCAUUCCUUUUCACACCCCGUCUCUAUCACCGCCUUCUUCAAUCUCUCCAUCGCCACCAUCAAACCUGCCAUUAACCGGUCGCUUAGUGCCCGCUCUCUUCAUCAUCGGCGAUUCCUCUGUUGACUGCGGCACCAAUAAUUACCUUGGUACCUUUGCUCGUGCUGACCGCCCUCCUUAUGGUAGAGAUUUUGACACACACAAGCCCACUGGAAGGUUUUCCAAUGGCAGAAUCCCUGUUGAUUAUCUGGCAUUGCGCCUUGGACUUCCCUUUGUACCAAGUUAUCUUGGGCAGAUGGGAACUGUUGAAGAUAUGAUUCAUGGAGUGAAUUAUGCAUCUGCUGGUGCUGGAAUAAUAUUCUCAAGUGGAUCAGAGUUGGGUCAAAGAAUCUCCUUCACCCAACAAAUUCAGCAGUUUUCAGAUACCUUACAGUCAUUUAUCUUAGGCUUGGGGGAGGAUAUUGCAUACGACCUCAUCUCCAACUCCAUCUUUUAUAUCUCCAUAGGAAUCAAUGAUUACAUACAUUACUAUCUCCGCAAUGUAUCCAAUGUACAAAAUUUGUACCUCCCAUGGAGUUUCAGCCAGUUCUUAGCAUCAACAGUAAGGCAUGAAAUUAAGAAUUUGUACCAUAUGAGUGCGAGGAAAGUGGUGGUCAUGGGACUAGCACCAAUUGGUUGUGCUCCUCACUACUUGUGGAGGCACAACAGCAAGAAUGGAGAGUGUAUCACAGAGAUAAAUGACAUGAUUAUGGAGUACAACUUUUUCAUGAGAUACAUGAUUGAGGAGCUUGGUCAGGAGCUUCCUGAUGCAAAGCUCACUUUCUGUGACCUGUAUGAAGGUUCCAUGGAUAUAAUUAAGAAUCAUGAUCGUUAUGGUUUUAAUGUGACUACUGAUGCUUGCUGUGGGUUAGGCAAGUACAAGGGUUGGAUCAUGUGCAUUGCGCCAGAAAUGGCUUGCAGGAAUGCUUCCAAUCAUAUCUGGUGGGACCAGUACCAUCCAACUGAUGGGGUGAAUGCCAUUUUGGCAGACAAUGUGUGGAACGGCUUGCACGCGAAAAUGUGCUAUCCCAUGAACCUGAAGGACAUGGUUGAUCCUGAGUUGAAAUAAUUUGAGUGCAGAAGCUUUAAACAUGCUGAAUUCUUCAUUUGUUCGCUUAACCCUGGAGUUUUACGUUUGCCUAUUCUUUGUGUGUAACAUCCAUGUAAUUCUCAAGACUGGAUUGUGCAAUUUGGUGAUAUAGGUAUCUUUUACUUGUUGAUAUUGUCUUCCAUUUCUUGUCAGUGAAACGCAGUUACAGAUUCACUACUUCGUCGAUUUAAUACAAUUCCAAGUACUGUAAAAC